AGUGAUCAGCAAAAGUAGAAUGCAUCAGCUUGGAACAUCCAGAGGCGCUGGAGUGACCUGGAAUGCACUGCACUCCAGAGCUGGAGCACACUUAGUCUGAUGUUUCUGAGCUGCUCUUACGCUGUUGAGCUGUGAACUGCUCGUUAAGUCUGACUCAUUUUUACAGCAAUUAUAUCUUGGCCGUAGAAAGACUGAGAAAUGCGCUUUGAUCCCAGCGCUUGGGAACUAAUAAAUGAUGAAAACGCCGGACUAUGCUGAGCAAUGUGCCCUGAACGCAGCAGCAAACGAGGACAUUUAGAGGACAGAGCGUCACCGCUGCAAUUUACUUCGCUACAAGUGCCCUCUAUUGGUGAAAUAAUUAUAGUCCCAAUGAUUUGACUCCUAUCGUCUUGACUAGACUUGACUAUUAUUUCUCCGAAUUACUUCCUGACACCUGCUGCUUCGGUUAUGCUGUGAAACAAAUUGCAUGCUACAAUCACGUUACAAACAACGGGAAAAUUACGUCAUAUCCGGAAAUUACCCGCAUUAAGAACGCUAUUCAAUCUCAGGUAAACUACAAAGGAGCCAAUGGGACCUUUCGUCCUUCCGCGCUACUCAUUAUCGUGAUUGCAUCGUGGUUCAUCUGUCUCUAAUGACGGCCAUUUGUGCAGCACAAGCGAUGUGUUUAUUACGCUCCUGCCUGAACAGAUUUUCGUACAGAGUCAGGUAUAACCCUCACCUGUGUGGGAACAAUCCUGGUGUUUCGUGACAUCACAGUUUUCCGGUCCAAUCACACUGACCGAGAGAUCUACUACCUGUCAUCACCGUGGAAACGCUGAUAGAGUGGGAAGAGAGCAGAGGGCGAGAAUAUUUCCUGCACCACACCUCUGACCCCACCCCUGGGACCAGCAUCACUGCUCUGACUGGUCAGACCAAAGGGUCACUGGAAGCAGGGUGACAGAACAGGUCAUCCAUUUUGAGCGGGGAGGAAAUGGCCCUGCGCUUGCCCGCAGCGAGCGGGGAGGAAAUGGCCCUGCGCUUGCCCGCAGCGAGGCCUGCGGUGGGUUUCCCUUCAGCUCAUUACAGCCGCGGAAUGAGAAAUCAGAGGCACGGCGCUCACAUUAAUCAGCUGAGCCCCGGCCAGGGCUCACACUGCAGCACGAGGCCACAGAGAGUCACUGUGCUUAUGAUCGCUGCUAUACAUAACACUGCAUUGCACUGCAGUACAUUACAUUAUGUGCACUUAGCACAAGCGCGUAUCUUAUAGACUAAUGCACAGCAGUGGAGAACAUCAGUGCUACUCUCAGGAAUAUAAGAAGUGCCGUAUCGCCAAGCAGGCACGGUAGACCCAUUUAUAAUCAAUAAGUGUAAUGUUAACUGAACAAAGCAACAAUUUGUGUUGCAGCAAAAAGGAAAUAUUUCUAUUAUGGAAAACGGAGAAAAACAAAGUGCAGUGAAUGAGGGUCUUGGGAGUCUGUGUGCAGUCUGGGGAGUUGAGGUGCAGUCUGGGGAGUCUGUGUGCAGUCUGGGGAGUCUGUGUGCAGUCUGGGGAGUUGAGGUGCAGUCUGGGGAGUUGGGGUGCGGUCUGGGGAGUCGGGGUGCAGUCUGGGGAGUUGGGGUGCGGUCUGCGGUGUAAUGCACAAAAUGCAGUGUUGUUAUUGUCCAAACUGCAUUGAAUAGCACAUCCCUUGUAUCAUUAACUGUUUAAUAUUAUAAAGGAAUUUAAUUUUUCUUAAUCUUCUUGAAGUGACAACUCUAGCACUAGACCUAAAAGUUGUUUCAAAGACUGAUGGUAAAAUAUUGUUUUCUGAAUUUCAGAAAAAUGUCCCAGAAAUUUCCCCAGAAAAUGAGUGAUGAGGGGCACAAUUUGUCCCCUGAAAUGUUUUAUUUCCUUCGCUGUGUGGAAUGGCGUCCGAGUUUAAUCUGAAACGGGAUUGAGUUGGGGGGGUGCGUUCAUUAGGACCGCAGCCUGCUGGAAACGGACGUCGCGCGCGCUCAUGCCUCCGACUCCAGACGGGAGCGGAGAUGCAGCGUUCCGCGGGCGAAUGCCCCGCGAGAGGGGGGGGGGGGUGCUGAUGAGGAGCGGGGGUAAAAUUAGGACCCUUCCUCUCGGCCCCCCUGCCGCGAUGGCGCAGCGGCGGUCCGUCCCGCGCGGCGGCGGCGGCGGCGCUCUCCGCGGGGUUUCAUCCGCGCGGUAAAGGCCAUUAAACAGCCAAUUAAAACUCACUAAUUAAGGAGUGAGCACGGCGAGCGGGCUGCCUCGGCCCCGCCCACAGGCGCCAGCGGGGCCCUGAUUGAGAGCGGAACAGCGGUACAGACGGAAAGUUCUGAGCCCUGUGAGAGAGUAGAGUUAGCGGAUAAUGAGUUAGCGGAGUUAGCGGAUGAUGAGUGUGAGCAGUUGAACGCCGCCUCGGGCAGGGCCGGAGUUUAUUAGUCUCCUGCCUCGCUCUUCCGCCAUCUCAUGAUGUGUGAUCCGCUCGCUGAUUGGCUGAACACUGAUGGUUUUUGGAGGGGGGGGGGGGUGAUGGGGACACCGUGCUGAAUGUAGCGGGAUGGAAACACAAAGGAGAGGCUGGCUCAUUUCCAUGAGUCUCAACUUCUCCUUUUCAAUACUGCAGGAAAGAGCUGAGCUCUGAAGUGCUUUUCAAUUCUUUAAAAUGUAGAUGGAUGAGCAUAAUGGUGUUAUUCCAGCCUAUUUAAUUCUGUCUGUUAGUCUGUAAUAAAGUACAGAGGUGUAACAGCAUCUGGGUUUGAGUGUGAUGU